GUGAAUCAUCGAAUCUUUGAACGCAAAUUGCACUCCCUGGUAUUCCGGGGAGUAUGCCUGUUUGAGGGUCGUUAGAAUAAAAAAUCGAUGCGUCGCUCUUUUUUAAGGGUGAUCCCGUCGGAAUUGAGCCGUCUUUCUUAUGUUAAUUCAUGUCAACGUGGCUUGCACUUCAUCCAUACGGUACGAUUGCAGCGUAUUUAAGAUCAUUUUUGAUUGAGAACGCGAGCUGCCGUACUAUUUCAUGUAGUACGUUUGAACUGG
rnacentral:misc_RNA from 1 species